CAGCAGCCACGGGAAUACGAAGGGGGCUAGCGUUGUUCGGAAUUACUGGGCGUAAAGCGCACGUAGGCGGACAUUUAAGUCAGGGGUGAAAUCCCGGGGCUCAACCCCGGAACUGCCUUUGAUACUGGGUGUCUAGAGUAUGGAAGAGGUGAGUGGAAUUCCGAGUGUAGAGGUGAAAUUCGUAGAUAUUCGGAGGAACACCAGUGGCGAAGGCGGCUCACUGGUCCAUUACUGACGCUGAGGUGCGAAAGCGUGGGGAGCAAACAGGAUUAGAUACCCCUGUAGUCCCUGUCUCUUAUAU
rnacentral:rRNA from 1 species